ACAGCAGCGACAAAAGUCCUUGACAUCCCUCCUAUGCUGACCCCAGUAGAACCCUUGCCGGAGUCGACGGAGGGUUUUUGAGACUCCAAAGUGUUCUGCCCCCGCAGCUCCAUGAGAGGCUUUGAGCACCAACUCUCUCAGUGCCCUAGGAACCAUCACCUGCCACCUUACUUCCCCUGUGGCUGGCUCCUUCCAGGCUGUUUGAAGCACUCCAUCUUUCACUUGGAGAGCCCCAAACUUUUCAAACAGUCCUUCAGUGGCAGCUGAAUACCCAGCGACCUCAUUCCACUCUGGUUUUCUGCCUGCCAG